UAGCAAUACGAGAGUGGCGGACGGGUGAGUAACGCGUGGGAACGUGCCCUAAGGUACGGAAUAACUGCGGGAAACUGCAGCUAAUACCGUAUGUGCCCGCAAGGGGAAAGAUUUAUCGCCUUAGGAGCGGCCCGCGUCGGAUUAGCUAGUUGGUGGGGUAACGGCCUACCAAGGCUUCGAUCCGUAGCUGGUCUGAGAGGACGAUCAGCCACACUGGGACUGAGACACGGCCCAGACUCCUACGGGAGGCAGCAGUGGGGAAUCUUGCGCAAUGGGGGAAACCCUGACGCAGCCAUGCCGCGUGAACGAUGAAGGCCUUAGGGUUGUAAAGUUCUUUUGCCCGUGACGAUGAUGACGGUAACGGGAGAAUAAGCUCCGGCUAACUUCGUGCCAGCAGCCGCGGUAAUACGAAGGGGGCUAGCGUUGUUCGGAAUUACUGGGCGUAAAGCGCGCGCAGGCGGUUUUGUAAGUUGGGGGUGAAAUCCCCGGGCUCAACCCGGGAAUUGCCUUCAAGACUGCAAAGCUAGAGGACGAGAGAGGUGAGUGGAAUUCCCAGUGUAGAGGUGAAAUUCGUAGAUAUUGGGAAGAACACCGGUGGCGAAGGCGGCUCACUGGCUCGUUUCUGACGCUGAGGCGCGAAAGCGUGGGGAGCAAACAGGAUUAGAUACCCUGGUAGUCCACGCCGUAAACGAUGAGUGCCAGGUGUCGGGGGGCUUUGCCCUUCGGCGCCGCAGCUAACGCCUUAAGCACUCCGCCUGGGGAGUACGGCCGCAAGGUUAAAACUC
rnacentral:rRNA from 1 species